rnacentral:rRNA from 1 species
AAUAGAUACCCCGGUAGUCCACGCCGUAAACGAUGAGUGCUAAGUGUUAGGGGGUUUCCGCCCCUUAGUGCUGCAGCUAACGCAUUAAGCACUCCGCCUGGGGAGUACGGUCGCAAGACUGAAACUCAAAGGAAUUGACGGGGGCCCGCACAAGCGGUGGAGCAUGUGGUUUAAUUCGAAGCAACGCGAAGAACCUUACCAGGUCUUGACAUCCCGCUGACCGCUAUGGAGACAUAGCUUUCCCUUCGGGGACAGCGGUGACAGGUGGUGCAUGGUUGUCGUCAGCUCGUGUCGUGAGAUGUUGGGUUAAGUCCCGCAACGAGCGCAACCCUUGUCCUUAGUUGCCAUCAUUCAGUUGGGCACUCUAAGGAGACUGCCGUACAAAUACGGAGGAAGGUGGGGAUGACGUCAAAUCAUCAUGCCCCUUAUGACCUGGGCUACACACGUGCUACAAUGGACGGUACAAACGGUUGCGAAGUCGCGAGACGGAGCCAAUCCGAGAAAGCCGUUCUCAGUUCGGAUUGCAGGCUGCAAC